GGCCUCCUAGCUCAGUUGGUUAGAGCGCACGGUUCACAUCCGUGAGGUCACAAGUUCGAGCCUUGUGGAGGCCA
rnacentral:tRNA from 1 species